UAAAUAAUAAGCUUGCCAGGCUUUUUUAAAGCUUGGCUUGCGAAUCCACUCUGUAUUUAAAACCCCACUCUUUUAAUAUGAAUCAAUUUUUAUGUUAAAAUAAAAAGA
rnacentral:misc_RNA from 1 species